rnacentral:rRNA from 1 species
AUGGAUCCUGCUGACACUCCGGGAGGGGUCGAUCCCUUUUCCAAGACAUCAUGUAUGGAUGGCAAGAUGCAGAGGCAUUCCCAAUUCCCACCGCCGUUGGAGGCAGCGGACUCCGUAUCCAGGGUGCUGGACGACGACGACCUCCUCAUCGAGAUCAUUGUCCGACUGGGCCUGCCCACCAGCCUCAUACGCGCCAUCCUUGUCUGCAAGCGCUGGUUCUUCAUUGUAUCCAACAAGGCCUUUCUCCGCCGCUUCCGCAGCCUCCACCCGCCCCGUCUCCUUGGCUUCUAUGUCUCCACCAGGUCAACUGACGAGCUCUUACCGGUCCUGCUCCGCCCGUGCUUUGUCUCGAUGCUGCCUCAACCCCCAGAGCUUGCCACUGCUGUCCGCCUGGCUGAGAACUACAGUCUGGAGGCAUACGACGAAGAACUUGCGUGCAUUCUUGAUUGCCAGAACGACACCAUCCUUCUCCAUGGCUUCCAAGGCAAGAAGAUCUUGUGGGGAGUGCACUGGCCGCUCUGCCCAGAGAGAGGCGUUGUUGAACCGCCGAUGGCCCCAUAUGACCAAUUCGAUGGCGCUUCACCUGCAGGCACUUGCGCCCAGUUCCUCUUGAAGGAAGAAGGUGACGGUAAGAGCUUGACCUUCAUAUGGUUGUCAAUGGCUUAUCUCAUAGAGGGAAAAAAAUAUUCUAUAAAAUACAAGGCGAACAUAUAUACGCUGCAAGAUGGUCUUUGGCACUGGCGUUCCUCAGCAGCGGCAGUGCUCCCUUCUCCGCGAUCGGAUCUAAAUCCUUUGCUGUCUGGCAAUAAGAUCUAUAUGGAGCACUCCACAAGCAUUGCUGCAUUGAAUUUGACAACCUCAAACUUCACCUCUAUUCCUCUCCCGGAAGGAAUGGAGCGGUAUAUUUGUGAAGAUAUGAUGAUGUCACGGGCCAAUGAUUCAGGGAUUUAUCUCAUACAUCUUGAGAUACUGCAGCUUCGCAUCUGGCUCCAUAGGGGGGACAACAGCGGCAGCAUGAGAAACUGGUUGCUUUUGGAUGACAUUUGCUUGCGUGAGAUGUUGGAUGCUUUGGGGAUGGCAGGUGGUGAGCAGCCUACUCUUUUAAACACAAGCGAAACGGGGGAUAAUCUCCAGUUUGUGUUCUUGAAGAUGGGCCAAUGUGCACUUUACUUGGAUAUUAAACACAGGGAGCUGCGUAAAGUGUAUGAGGUGACAGAAGAUGACCGAACUUUAGAACGGAUUUAUCCUUUUAUGAUGACAUGGCCACCCACAUUCCCUGUGCUCAAGAAUGAUCCUGCAAGUCCUAAGAGAACUUUCAUACGAAGAACAAGGACAAUAUGA